GAAAAUAGAUUAAAUCGAUUAAUCUAUUUGAUAGUAUGCAAGAAAAUAUAGUGUGUCUAUAGUGAUUCCGUUUUAAAUUGAUAACAUGUGAAAAUGAUUGAGUGGAAUUUUGAGUUUAAUGUGCAAAACAGUUUCAUGAGUAUGUAAUAUCAAUUCCGGACAAAGUUUCACACUGUAGGUAGGUGCCACAGUUUAAGACCGAUGAGAAUCGUGCACUAUUUAUCAUAAAACAAUAUUAUACAUUUAUUUAGACCACCGUCUUACGAAUUUCAGUGAACCACUCCUACAAUAUUGAACGAUUGACGAUUGUAAUGAAAAUUAAAGGUAUUCAAAUUGUAGAAACGCUGUGGACGUUUUAUACACGUUCAAAAAUAGAUGCGAUAUUGUGCAACAUGUGCAUAUACAUUUGGCUGUCUGUCUGCAGCUUGUCUGGGAGAGGCUUCUAAAUGGAUGAACCGGGUUGUUUGCAGAACGAGCAAAAUAACUGUGUUGAAAAUAUGUGCAUUCUUACAUUUGAGUAUUUGUCAGAGAUUAAGAAGGAGACAUUUAAUUUGUCACGUGCAACCCCGUGCAGUAUCAACUAGAACCUACCUUUA